rnacentral:rRNA from 1 species
UACGUAGGGUGCAAGCGUUAAUCGGAAUUACUGGGCGUAAAGCGUGCGCAGGCGGUUUUGUAAGUCUGACGUGAAAUCCCCGGGCUCAACCUCUGGAUGCCGGUGGAUACUGCUGGGCUAGAGUCCGGAAGAGGCGAGUGGAAUUCCUGGUGUAGCGGUGAAAUGCGCAGAUAUCGGGAAGAACACCCGUGGCGAAGGCGGCUCUCUGGGACGGUACUGGACGCUGAG